AGGUAUCGUGUCCAAGUUGAUGUGCGAGAUGAUACCGAUAGUGCUGAAUUUGUGAUAUGGGACCGAGAAGCUUCUUUGUGGAUCAAAAAGUCAGCUGCAAUUGUUCAAAAGGAAGCAGAUGAGGCUGAUGAGUUGCCGGGUAUGCCUCCUGUUGCAUUGGAUAUUUUUGUUGGGAAAACUUUCAUAUUCAAGAUAAAAACUGAUGAUAGUAAGAAUGGAAAAUAUGCGAAGAGUUAUUCUGUGUACACAAUGACUGAUGCUCCUGAUAUGAUCAAACUUUUUACCUCAAAUGAUGACACAGUACAGGAUUCGUUGCAAAUUGGUAGUAUUGAUGCAAAUAGUGAGCUAUCUAUUCAAAAGC